CACGUAGGGGGCGAGCGUUGUCCGGAUUUAUUGGGCGUAAAGAGCUCGUAGGCGGUUUGGCAAGUCGGGUGUGAAAUUUCGAGGCUCAACCUCGAAACGCCACUCGAUACUGCCAUGACUGGAGUCCGGUAGAGGAGUGCGGAAUUCCUGGUGUAGCGGUGAAAUGCGCAGAUAUCAGGAGGAACACCGGUGGCGAAGGCGGGUCUCUGGGCCGAUAUUGACGCUGAGGAGCGAAAGCGUGGGGAGCGAACAGG
rnacentral:rRNA from 1 species